AAUAGAUACCCGAGGUAGUCCUAGCCGUAAACGAUGAACACUAGGCGUAGUCGGUAUCGACCCCGGCUGUGCCGUAGCUAACGCAUUAAGUGUUCCGCCUGGGGAGUACGGCCGCAAGGCUAAAACUCAAAGGAAUUGACGGGGGGCCCGCACAAGCAGCGGAGCGUGUGGUUUAAUUCGUCGCAACGCGAAGAACCUUACCAGGGCUUGACAUGUGGCGGAAAACGGCGGAAACGUCGUCCUCCCGCAAGGGACCGUCAUGCAGGUGUUGCAUGGCUGUCGUCAGCUCGUGUCGUGAGAUGUUGGGUUAAGUCCCGCAACGAGCGCAACCCCCGUGGCAUGUUGUAUCUCUCAUGCCAGACUGCCGAGAGAAACUCGGAGGAAGGUGGGGAUGACGCCGAAGUCAGCAUGGCCCUUACGUCCUGGGCUACACACACGCUACAAUGGCCGGUACAACGGGUUGCCGAAACCGCGAGGUGGAGCUAAGUCCCUUAAACGCCGGUCUCAGUUCGGAUUGCAGGCUGCAACUCGCCUGCA
rnacentral:rRNA from 1 species